ensembl:lncRNA
GGUGGCCAUGUCUGGUGACCAGAAAACACUUCACACUUAAAGAAAUCAUUAUAUUCUUCAUGAAAUAUAAAGAAAAGAAAAUGUCAACAGGCACUUUGAACAGAAUUUCCAAGUAGUUUUGUUUAUGGCAGAUGUUGUACCUACUAGUGAGAAGGCAUAAGUGUUAAGUUAUAACUUAAGGUUACUUGGUGCAAUCUUUACUGUUUUAGUAGUUGUGUGCAUUUAUAUAUAAACUAGGCAGUGAUAUAAUUUAUGUUCAGUUAGUGCAGUUGUCUGCUGGAAAGCCUCAUCAAUGUACCUAUCUAAUCUAGUUCACAAUAUCUGUAGGUGUAAUCCUAUCCCUAUCUAAUCUAGUUCACAAUAUCUGUAGGUGUAAUCCUAUCCCUAUCUAAUCUAGUUCACAAUAUCUGUAGGUGUAAUCCUAUCCCUAUCUAAUCUAGUUCACAAUAUCUGUAGGUGUAAUCCUAUCCCUAUAUCUGUCUAAUCUAGUUCACAAUAUCUGUAGGUGUAAUCCUAUCCCUAUAUCUAUCUAAUCCAGUGAACAAUAUAUGUAGGUGUAAUCCUAUCCAUAUACCUAUCUAAUCUAGUGCACAAUAUCUGUAGGUGUAAUCCUAUCCUUAUCUAAUCUAGUGCACAAUAUCUGUAGGUGUAAUCCUAUCCCUAUCUAAUCUAGUUCACAAUAUCUGUAGGUGUAAUCCUAUCCCUAUCUAAUCUAGUUCACAAUAUCUGUA